UACGUACGAGGCGAGCGUUAUCCGGAAUUACUGGGCGUAAAGCGCGCGCAGGUGGCUUGCUAAGUCGGACGUGAAAUCUCCCGGCCUAACUGGGAGGGGUCGUCCGAGACUGGCCGGCUUGAGGCUGGCAGAGGUAGGUGGAAUUCCUGGUGUAGUGGUGAAAUGCGUAGAGAUCAGGAGGAACACCGGUGGCGAAGGCGGCCUGCUGGGCAGUGGCUGACGCUGAGGCGCGACAGCGUGGGGAGCAAACAGG
rnacentral:rRNA from 1 species